AUCUCUCAACACAGACAGGUUUUGUUACCUGUUCUGUUGUUUGGAUUUUGAAGGCUUUGCUGGCAGUCUGACUGUCAGCUCCUUUUAAAUGCAUUAGCAGAAAUCAUGCAGAACUGGCCUCAGUUUGAUAAAGAUUUAUCUAUGUUGCUGUCGCCAGGAUAAUGCUAGUAUUUUUCAGCUUCUAAUAGUCCUUUCAGGACUGUCUCACUUGAGGCAUA
rnacentral:misc_RNA from 1 species